UCUCUAAUAUUAUCAAUCUUGCAAGUAAAGAAGUUCACUCUUAGCCCGGAUUUUAUAUUUACUUAAACUAUAUAAUUACAAUAUACUUAAAAUAUUUAAGUUUGAUUGCCUUACUUAUAAAACAUAAGUAUAUUCUACUAAAUUGUGGAUUUAAUUUGAAUGUGUUAAUAAAUUUAAGUUAAAUGCACUUAAAUUAUUAAGUUUUUCUCCUGACCACGCCUCUUACACAUUGGUUUACGGCAGGUAAUGACGCCAUUUUGUCGUGGUGUGUGUGAAUUCAAGGAGCUGUUGAUGAGAAGUUGGAACAUUUGUUUUGGCAAGUUCUACAGACAUUUUUUUCCAAACAUUUGCCUUUUUAUCGUUUCCCCCCCUGAGAGACUGUUUGUGAGCAGUGAAAAUCGUUUGUUAAAGUUUAAACGACGGAACUGUUUUCUCCGGUUAGCUAGUGUUCUCUCUCGCGUGGAUCACCGUGCAUGAACCCCUGAUCGGCGAGUUCGACGCGCGUUAUUUCGUCGUUUGUUUCUUUUUCACACGAGGAGCUGUUGUUGGGAGUGUAAACUUAGUUUGAACCUCUGGCUGUCGGCAAACACCACGGCCGCGCCCGCGCUUCCAGCAGAGGAGAGAGGAUGAAGCGUGAAAAUGGUGAGUGCAAUAAUUUAACGACCGUGUUUUAUUUCGACACGGCUAUUGAUUGAAAUAUUAAGUUAAAGUUAAUUAACGAGUUGAAAACAAAAACAGAUGGAUAUACUGUUUUAUCUAGGUUCAUAGCUUUCUUAACAACAGACUAUCUUGUUUUGUGUUGCAGGUCAAGAAGAGAUGCUUUGGAUUAGAAGUAAAAGUUGUCAACGACGAGCCUGACAUCAGCCUGAUGGAACUUCAAUGGCCAGCUCUUUCUACAGUAAACCAGGUUGCAGCUGACAAGGACUCAUACAGGCAAACUUCAGUGAGAAUCCUCUGUGUUGAUCUAUAAAGUGCUCAGCUAAACCCAUCAUGAGUGAAGAUCGUCUUGGAAGGAUGUUUGGUGAUGGAUGAACCGACCAACCUCAGGACUUCUGUGUCCUUUUUUCUGACUGAUUUAUGCCCUGCAACUGGACUACCCUAACUGUAUGAAAAAUACUUUAUAUUUUAUUCAGCAGGUAAUGCUCAACCUAGGAAAAUGUGAGCUGGCACCUAAAAUGGAAUACUGCCACUAUUGUGAACUCAGGAGUGUGAACAAACCAUAUAGUUUUAAUGCAAUUUGUUGUGAUUCUGAGAUAGACUAUUUAUGUGCUUAAUAAGCUGAUUUGUUAAAAAUUAUUUUUUUCACGUUUUAUAAGGAAAUGUUUUCAGGACAUGAAAUGUUGUUGUAUUUGGAAUUAAAUU